GUUAGACAAUAUACUGACUGCAUGUAGAAACAGGACUCCUCCAGAUCCUCAACAAUAGAAUAGAUCAUUCAACUUUUUAGAGUGCUGAUGUAGUUUUUUUUUUUUUUUUUUACUUUUGGCUGAGUGACUGAGUGUAGGUUACAGUGGAUGAGAGCUGGACGUAGAUGGCUGGAAAUAGAGAUAGCUAUAUAGAAAUUGAUAGG